rnacentral:tRNA from 1 species
GUGGCAUUCGUCUAACGGCAGGACGCAAGCUUGUGGUGCUUGAGAUGUCGGGUUCGAUUCCCGCAUGCCGCCCGA